UGAGCUGCUCAGUUCCUUUUCCCCUCUAGCCGAACUCUGCUAAUAUCACUCUCAGUUGGCUCUCUUUUUCUUUCUUACUGUGUUAAAGCCUUGGGAAGUCAGUUGAGGGGUGGGACAUGAGGUUAAAUAGCUGAACUUUUCUUUCUCUGGUCAUGCCAAGCUCUGCCCCUAGCCGGCCCCUACCAGCCUCCCUACCAAGCUG
rnacentral:lncRNA from 1 species